AGUGAACGCUGGCGGUAGGCCUAACACAUGCAAGUCGAACGGCAGCACAGUAAGAGCUUGCUCUUACGGGUGGCGAGUGGCGGACGGGUGAGGAAUACAUCGGAAUCUACUUUUUCGUGGGGGAUAACGUAGGGAAACUUACGCUAAUACCGCAUACGACCUACGGGUGAAAGCAGGGGAUCUUCGGACCUUGCGCGAUUGAAUGAGCCGAUGUCGGAUUAGCUAGUUGGUGGGGUAAAGGCCAACCAAGGCGGCGAUCCGUAGCUGGUCUGAGAGGAUGAUCAGCCACAUGGGAACUUAGACACCGUCAAUACUCCUGAGGGAGGCCGCAGUCGGGAAUAUUGGACAAUGGGCGCAAGCCUGACCCAGCCAUACCGCGUGGGUGAAGAAGGCCCUCGGGUUGGAAAGCCCUUUUGUUGGGAAAGAAAAGCAGCAGGUUAAGACCCCGCGGUUCUGACGGUACCCAAAGAAUAAGCACCGGCUAACUACGUG
rnacentral:rRNA from 1 species